rnacentral:lncRNA from 1 species
UUAAUACCUUAGAUUAAUUAGUUUGUAUAAACCACAGGGACUAACUAUGUAAUUAAUACCCUCACCACAUGUUAAAAACAUGGAAAGUUAGUACCCCAGGAUGUGAUUUUAAACUAUUAGUACCUUACAUUGUUACUUUGUGUAAACCACAGGGACUAACUAUGUAAUUAACUCUAAUCUUUCCGUCACCUGGUGGGAGAAAAUUUCUACAAGUCUACAUUCAUCCAUGCUUUAUGCAGUACCUGGAUUGUUGGAUGCCAUUAAUGUCUUGAUUUGAAAACUAGACAAUGUAGACCAUGUGCAAGUUUCAAUUCUCAUGGCAGGUUGCAUCUUCUAACAGCUCAGCUUCCAACUUAGGCGUGGUUUAUGGUCAUAAUGUUGGAUUUUGGUGCAGUUCUUGGAAUAGAUAGAUAAAGACACCAAAUCUUGGUAUUGGGAAGACGAUGACAGUUUGUGAUGUGUGUCAAAGUACAGGAGUCGGCGCCCAACAUAGAUCAUCACUACUUGGCAAUUGGAUUUUGUUUGUAACAUACAUCUAAGUAGAAGCAACAUAG